rnacentral:rRNA from 1 species
AACGCGAAGAACCUUACCUACCCUUGACAUGUCAGGAAUCCUGCAGAGAUUCGGGGGUGCCUUCGGGAACCUGGAGACAGGUGCUGCAUGGCUGUCGUCAACUCGUGUCGUGAGAUGUUGGGUUAAGUCCCGCAACGAGCGCAACCCUUGCCCUUAGUUGCCAGCAUUAAGUUGGGAACUCUAAGGGGACCGCCGGUGACAAACCGGAGGAAGGUGGGGAUGACGUCAAGUCAUCAUGGCCCUUAUGACCAGGGCUACACACGUGCUACAAUGGCCAGUACAAAGGGUUGCCAACCCGCGAGGGGGAGCCAACCCCAAAAAGCUGGUCGUAGUCCGGAUCGCAGUCUGCAACUCGGCUGCGUGAAGUCGGAAUCGCUAGUAAUCGUGAAUCAGCGAUGUCACGGUGAAUACGUUCCCGGGUCUUGUACACAC